rnacentral:sRNA from 1 species
GUUCCUCUACGCCUAGGACACCAGAAUAUCGAACCAUGAA